AGAGUUGAUCAUGGCUCAGGAUGAACGCUAGCUACAGGCUUAACACAUGCAAGUCGAGGGGAAACGGAACAUCGAAAGACUUGCUUUUGUAUGGGCGGUCGACCGGCGCACGGGUGAGUAACGCGUAUCCAACCUGCCCACCACUUGGGGAUAACCUUGCGAAAGUAAGACUAAUACCCAAUGAUAUCUCUAGAAGACAUCUGAAAGAGAUUAAAGAUUUAUCGGUGAUGGAUGGGGAUGCGUCUGAUUAGCUUGUUGGCGGGGUAACGGCCCACCAAGGCAACGAUCAGUAGGGGUUCUGAGAGGAAGGUCCCCCACAUUGGAACUGAGACACGGUCCAAACUCCUACGGGAGGCAGCA
rnacentral:rRNA from 1 species